UACAUAUAUAUAUAUAUAUAAAAACUAUAUACAUACAACUGGGAUUUGGACAAAUUGCAAUCAAAAAUGUAAACUGAUGGUGAGGGCAUUGUGACAUUUCUUUAUCAUUUUUAUAGACUUUCUCUCUGAUGGAUUUACACAUUUUCCCCUGUGAUUAAAGUAAUUGUUAUUGGGUGUACACUGUGGAAUAAACAACAAGGACUCAAAAAGGCAACCUGGCUACUAAAGGGAACCUAGAUACGGAAAGACUGCUUCGUUCUCAGUGCUACAUCCAUCCUAUCCCAGAACAGCAGCAGCAGCAGCAGUCAAGCUUUUCUAAGUGAUGACAGAAGAGGAAGAGAAAGCAAAAUUGCAUGCUCAUAUCGAACACAGUGAACAUCAGGCUUAGGUUUGAUGUCCACAGCAGUUCUCUUCCAUGCAAAACCACUGAGAAAUAUCAGAAAGCUCCUUCUGCAGGUUGGAGACCCUGCCUGUGUCAUGGGGGUUGGAACUCGGUGAUCCUUGGGUGCCUUCCAACCCAAGCCAUUCUAUGAUUCUGUGAUUCUAAAUUGCUUUUUUUCUUUUUCUUUCUUUUUUUUUUUUUUUUCCCUUUUCAGUAUUUGCAGGUACUUGCACCAGACAGAAGCCCAUUUUUGUCAAGGAGAAGACUUCUGCUUUCAUCUGCUGCUUUCAGAAAUAGCUGCUCUAGUAUGAGUAAAUGAUGUGUUUUCCAGGAGUUGAAAGACUCGCAGUCUGUUUAGCACUCAGUGCUCCAUUGUGGACUUCAUGCUGAUCCAACCCUUGGCCAUCUGACCCAUUCCUGAAUGGAGGCUCUUCUGGACAUUAUCAGCAGUCGGGGGCAAAAGCAAGACCCUUACAUUAGACAUUAAGAUGAUUAAGUCAUCUUCAGGAAUAGUAAUAGACAGAAGUGAUGUUCCAAUGCUGAGCAUCAUUCAGAGAGAAAAAUAACAGGUAUGGGGUAGGGAAAAGAUCAGGAAGCAGUUUAGGUUUAACGUUCAAUGAACGCUCACUCACAUUCCACAAAAGGUUAUAAGCUGUAUUAUUCCCUGGAACUCAGAAGUAAUAUCAGUCAGUGAUCUUUGUGCAAAUCAGGGGUUGUAAAGCACUGUGUAAACCAGCUGAGACCUCCUUCUAAAUGUCAUGCUGAAAUCAGAAUGUGAACAGCACGACAGAAGCAAAACUAAGAGUACAGUAGGUGAAAUUAGAUGCUGUGCCAUAUGAACAGCUGUUUGCAUAACACUCUGACGAUUUAAAGGCAUCUGUUCUGCAGCCCAUUCUCUAUUGCUAACAUCCACUGUAUCAGAAAUCAAGCCUCCUUCAUACACGGUUUGUGUCCCUCAUUUCUGUGACUUAUUUCAGUGCUGCUCUCUGAACGGCUGGAGAAAGCAGGCUGAAAUUCUGCUCACGUAGGCUGAAGCAACAUGAAGCAACUCCCAUUUUUUUCACUUCCUGAUCACUGGAGUCUAAUGUGUCUUUGCAUCUAAAUAAACUAUUUGCAUGACAAGCAGACAUCUGUAUGACAUUGUUAGUCCUCCGUUAGCUAAUAUCCUUCUGUGGUAUUUCAAAUGCUCAAUCUCCUAUCGCAUAUUAGAAAGACCCGACUGGUGCAAUAGAUCCAUUAGAAUGGAUUUUUAAGAAUGUUCACUCUAUUUGGAUAAAUAAAGGGAAAAAAAGAGAAGGAAAGCUCUUCAUUCAUUUUCAAGAGGUUAUGCAAAUAUUCUCAGAUCACAUACCAAAGAGAAGACUGCAAAUGAUGAGAGGAUGGCCCAGGGUUAAGAUGGAUGACACUAACAACAUGUGCCUAGCAAUGCAAUUGGAGGUGACGGUAGAAAGCAUGCCAAAUUCUCUGCUUUGACAUUUCAAUACAUCUCAGUGUGACAUCGGCCCACAGCUCUGCUGUCCCAACGCCUCAACACGCAGCUGAUCUCACCGGUGCACUCCCCUCACCUUGUGAACACAGCAUUCUGCCAGCUGAGCCUUCCUUUCAUUUGGACAGAGACGUGCUGGGACAGCAACCAAUUUAAAAUGACUCUUCCUGACUGCAACAGAUGAUGAAAGAUUAAGAGGGAAGCAGGAUGUGCCUGAAAACACCUUGAAAAAUGACACCAGAGCCACCACCAAUGUACACAUUUACUGUGAAAUGACAGCUUGACUCACCCACCUUGCAGCUCUUCUAUGGUUUAAGAAACAUGGAAAGAAAGAGUAAAAUGAGUUCUUCAGCUAUGCAGAACGAAUAUGAAGAGAGACAGUUCCCAUACCUUAUCAUCUGGUUUGAAUCACAGAACCGUAGAAUCAUUAAGGUUGAAAAAGACCACUAGUCCAACUGUUGAUCCCUCCCCACUGUGCCCACAUGUUCCAGAUAGCAUUCUAGAAUUAUUAAGGUCAGAAGAGAUCGCUAAGAUGACCCAGUCCAACCUCAACCCAUCCCCACCAUGCCCACUAACCAUGUCCCCCCAGUGCCACAUCUCCA
ensembl:lncRNA